rnacentral:rRNA from 1 species
AGGGCACCACCAGGAGUGGAGCCUGCGGCUUAAUUUGACUCAACACGGGGAAACUCACCCGGCCCGGACACCGUAAGGAUUGACAGAUUGAUAGCUUUUUCAUGAUUCGGUGGAUGGUGGUGCAUGGCCGUUCUUAGUUCGUGGAGCGAUUUGUCUGGCUUAUUCCGAUAACGAGCGAGACUCUAGCCUACUAAAUAGUUCGCACAUUGUCUCUGUGUGUGUGACUUCUUAGAGGGAUUUUCGGUGUUCAGCCGCACGAAAUUGAGCAAUAACAGGUCUGUGAUGCCCUUAGAUGUCCGGGGCUGCACGCGCGCUACACUGGCAAAAUCAGCGUGCUUGUCCUUCCCCGAAAGGGGUUGGUAAACCCUUGAAAAUUUGCCGUGAUUGGGAUUGGAAAUUGCAAUUAUUUUCCAUGAACGAGGAAUUCCAAGUAAGUGCGAGUCAUCAGCUCGCGUUGAUUACGUCCCUGCCCUUUGUACACACCGCCCGUCGCUGCCCGGGGACUGAGCCAUUUCGAGA